AGAAGUGAGGUUGAUCUGGCUGCGACAUCUGUCACCCCAUUGAUCACCAGGGUUGAUUCAGCUGAUCUGGCUGACUAGGUGGGUGUCCCCUUCCUCCCUCACCACUCCAUGUGCGUCCCUCCCAGACAGCCUUCCCUGGAUAGAGACGGACCAGUCUUGGGUCAAGGGUCUACGAGUAGCUGUGCUCCCCUUCUAGAACCUCCAAACAAGCUCUCAAGGUCCAUUUAUAGGAGAACAUAGCUUAGUCAAGCUUCCAAGACUCCAGACACAUCCAAAUGAGGUGCUGCAUGUGGCAGUCUGCCUUUCUUU
ensembl:misc_RNA 7SK 7SK RNA